CCUUCCGGCCAGGAACCUCAUCAAUCUGAUGGUUCCAAUGGACAUGCGGCACCCCAUAGCAACUCAGAGGGCUCCCCUAAUUGUAUUCUGAGAUCCGGCAGUUCAGAUUCUGGUUCCCCUAAUAAAAAUGUUUCCCUCACUCGUAUCAGGACAUCCAGCGGCAUAUCACAGGGCGUAUUCCCAUAAAUAGGAGAAGCGUGUCUUAUCAUUGUGUCCCAGAAGAUUGCAGCGAUGAUGAGCAGGAUGAGCAGCUGUUUCAUUUUACACAAUCAGACACUGAUGAUGAAACGGAAAUCAUCAACGGGGCAGGUAUCUUGACUGAUAUUUCGAGUGAAAAUUCAGUUCGAGGAAUAACGAUCAAUAUCGACCGAAGCGGAGAUAAUGAUCAGAUAUUAGAGGGCGGUUCUGGCUCAGAAAAAUUUAAUUUUGAUGAAACGUUGUGUUCCUGCACUGAUACAACUAUUGGAGAAACUCUUCUAAUGAUCAUGUCUAUUGGUCUUAGACACACACUACCAUGGACAGCUUUAGUUGACAUUUGCCAAGCCAUCAAUGUUCUUUACAAUCGACGAAUUAUCCCUGAUACGAAGUAUGUGCUUCAAAAGUUUUUCCCAUCCCAUAUUGACAAAGCUACAUAUCAUUUGUAUUGUCAAGAGUGUCGGGAAUACUUAGGUGAACGUAGACCUGAUAUCCAAGAAAUUGAGUGCGUCUGUGGAUAUAAAUUAAUCGUUAACAAAAUCGACUCCUAUUUUAUUGAAUUUGAUAUGGCGGAACAAUUAAGGACCCUUUUUAAAAAUAAUUCGCUUGCAGAAAGUUUAAAAUCUCGUUUUAAUAGAGAGGAAGCUGAUGACAAUACCUUACGAGAUAUCUUUGACGGCGUCACGUAUAAAAAAUAUGUUUCUUCUGGACUUUUAGGUGAUUGGAGGAAUAUUUCAUGUACGUUUAAUACGGAUGGGUGCAAACACGCAAAAUCUUCCAAAUUAGCUGUGUGGCCGAUCUAUUUUAGAAUCAAUGAACUUCCAGAGA